rnacentral:rRNA from 1 species
UACAGAGGGGGCAAGCGUUGUUCGGAAUUACUGGGCGUAAAGGGCGCGUAGGCGGCCGCCUAAGUCAGACGUGAAAUCCCUCGGCUCAACCGGGGAACUGCGUCUGAUACUGGAUGGCUAGAGGUUGGGAGAGGGAUGCGGAAUUCCAGGUGUAGCGGUGAAAUGCGUAGAUAUCUGGAGGAACACCGGUGGCGAAGGCGGCAUCCUGGACCAAUUCUGACGCUGAGGAGCGAAAGCCAGGGGAGCAAACGGG